rnacentral:rRNA from 1 species
GACGAACGCUGGCGGCGUGCUUAACACAUGCAAGUCGAGCGGAGCGGCGAACGGGUGAGUAACGCGUGAGUAACUGCCCCCCUCUCUGGGAUAACAGUUGGAAACGGCUGCUAAUACCGGAUAGUGGGGGAUGACUCGCGUCCUAUCAGCUUGUUGGUGGGGUAGUGGCCUACCAAGGCGACGACGAGUAGCCGGCCUGAGAGGGCGACCGGCCAAAUUGGACGGGUGUACGGCCCAAACAGCUACGGGAGGCAGCAGUGAGGAAUAGUGCACCAUGGGGGAAACCCUGAUGCAGCAACGCCGCGUGCGGGGUGACGGCCUUCGGGUUGUAAGCCGCUUUCAGCCAUGACGCGGUGGUGGCAGAAGAAGCACCGGCUAACUACGUGCCAGCAGAAGCGGUAAUAC